rnacentral:rRNA from 1 species
AACGCGAAGAACCUUACCCAGGCUUGACAUGCAGAUGACCGUGCCAGAAACGGCACUUCCCUUCGGGGCAUCUGCACAGGUGCUGCAUGGCUGUCGUCAGCUCGUGCCGUGAGGUGUUUGGUUAAGUCCAGCAACGAGCGCAACCCUUGUCACUAGUUGCCAGCACGUAAUGGUGGGAACUCUAGUGAGACUGCCUAGGUUAACUAGGAGGAAGGUGAGGAUGACGUCAAGUCCGCAUGGCCCUUAUGUCUGGGGCUACACACGUGCUACAAUGGUCGGUACAGAAGGCAGCGAAACCGCAAGGGGAAGCAAAUCCUUAAAGCCGGCCCCAGUUCAGAUUGUAGUCUGCAACUCGACUACAUGAAGUUGGAAUUGCUAGUAAUGGCGUGUCAGCCACAACGCCGUGAAUACGUUCCCGGGCCUUGUACACACCGGAGUGC